UACGUAGGGAGCAAGCGUUGUCCGGAAUCAUUGGGCGUAAAGCGCGCGUAGGUGGCCCCAUAAGUCCGCUGUGAAAGUCAAAGGCUCAACCUUUGAAAGCCGGUGGAUACUGUGGGACUAGAGUACGGAAGAGGCGAGUGGAAUUCCUGGUGUAGCGGUGAAAUGCGCAGAUAUCAGGAGGAACACCAAUUGCGAAGGCAGAUCGCUGGAACGUAACUGACGCUGAGACGCGAAGGCGUGGGGAGCAAACAGG
rnacentral:rRNA from 1 species